rnacentral:rRNA from 1 species
UACGGGGGGGGCAAGCGUUGUUCGGAAUUACUGGGCGUAAAGGGCUCGUAGGCGGCCAACUAAGUCGGAUGUGAAAUCCCCAGGCUCAACCUGGGAACUGCAUCCGAUACUGGAUGGCUUGAAUCCGGGAGAGGGAUGCAGAAUUCCAGGUGUAGCGGUGAAAUGCGUAGAUAUCUGGAGGAAUACCGGUGGCGAAGGCGGCAUCCUGGACCGACAUUGACGCUGAACGGCGAAAGCUAGGGGAGCAAACGGG